rnacentral:rRNA from 1 species
UUAACUNUGAGCUUGCUUUCGAUACGGGCUGACUUGAGGGAGGUAGGGGAGAAUGGAAUUCCUGGUGGAGCGGUGGAAUGCGCAGAUAUCAGGAGGAACACCGGUGGCGAAGGCGGUUCUCUGGACCUUUCCUGACGCUGAGAAGCGAAAGCGUGGGGAGCGAACAGGCUUGGAUACCCUGGUAGUCCACGCUGUAAACGGUGGGUACUAGGUGUGGGGGACAUUCCACGUUCUCCGUGCCGUAGCUAACGCAUUAAGUACCCCGCCUGGGGAGUACGGCCGCAAGGCUAAAACUCAAAGGAAUUGACGGGGCCCCGCACAAGCGGCGGAGCAUGCGGAUUAAUUCGAUGCAACGCGAAGAACCUUACCUGGGUUUGACAUAUGCCGGGAGCGUUCAGAGAUGGGCGUGCCUUUUUGGUCGGUUUACAGGUGGUGCAUGGCUGUCGUCAGCUCGUGUCGUGAGAUGUUGGGUUAAGUCCCGCAACGAGCGCAACCCUCGUCCAAUGUUGCCAGCGGGUUAUGCCGGGGACUCAUUGGAGACCGCCGGGGUCAACUCGGAGGAAGGUGGGGAUGACGUCAAGUCAUCAUGCCCCUUAUGUCCAGGGCUUCACGCAUGCUACAAUGGCCGGUACAGUGAGCUGCGAGCCUGUGAGGGUGAGCGAAUCUCUAAAAGCCGGUCUCAGUUCGGAUUGGGGUCUGCAACUCGACCCCAUGAAGUCGGAGUCGCUAGUAAUCGCAGAUCAGCAACGCUGCGGUGAAUACGUUCCCGGGGCUUGUACACACCGCCCGUCAAGUCAUGAAAGUCGGUAACACCCGAAGCCGGUG